GGGGGGGGGGAUUAGGACACACAUUGUUAUUGUUAAAAGUUGUUAAAAGUAGCUUAGUACCUUAAGCCAAGAGUUCUAUAUUACUUUGUCACGCAAGGAAACUUGGUAAGAUGUGUUUUAAUGAUUUAAAAGCCAUAUAAAGAGUGACAGCCUUUUAGGUAAAUUAUACAAGUAACCAAUGGAAAAAUACAGUGUCGGUAAGUAUCAACAAUGUUA